rnacentral:rRNA from 1 species
UAGAGGAAGUAAAAGUCGUAACAAGGUCUCCGUAGGUGAACCUGCGGAGGGAUCAUUACAGAGUUCAUGCCCUCCGGGUAGAUCUCCCACCCAUUGCUAUCACUACUCUCGUUGCUUUGGCGGGCCGCUGGGCCCUGCCCGGCCGCCGGCCCCGGCUGGCGCGUGCCCGCCAGAGACCUCACAGACUCUGAAUGUUAGUGUCGUCCGAGUAACUAUACAAUCGUUAAAACUUUCAACAACGGAUCUCUUGGUUCUGGCAUCGAUGAAGAACGCAGCGAAAUGCGAUAAGUAAUGCGAAUUGCAGAAUUCAGUGAGUCAUCGAAUCUUUGAACGCACAUUGCGCCCUGUGGUAUUCCGCAGGGCAUGCCUGUUCGAGCGUCAUUUCAACCCUCAAGCCUCGCUUGGUGUUGGGCCCUGCCCGCCGCGGCCGGCCCUAAAGAUAGUGGCGGCGCCGCCUGGCCCUCAGCGUAGUACAGCUCUCGCUCCAGGGUCCGGCGGCAGCCUGCCAGAACCCCCCCCAACUCUGUGGUUGACCUCGGAUCAGGUAGGGAUACCCGCUGAACUUAAGCAUAUCAAUA